UACGGAGGGGGCUAGCGUUGUUCGGAAUUACUGGGCGUAAAGCGCACGUAGGCGGACUGGGAAGUUGGGGGUGAAAUCGUGGGGCUCAACCUCGGAACUGCGUUCAAAACUAUUAGUCUGGAGUUCGAGAGAGGUGAGUGGAAUUCCGAGUGUAGAGGUGAAAUUCGUAGAUAUUCGGAGGAACACCAGUGGCGAAGGCGGCUUGCUGGCUCGAUACUGACGCUGAGGUGCGAAAGCGAGGGGAGCAAACAGG
rnacentral:misc_RNA from 1 species